rnacentral:rRNA from 1 species
GUGGGGAAUUUUGGACAAUGGGGGAAACCCUGAUCCAGCGACGCCGCGUGAAGGAUGAAGGCCUUCGGGUUGUAAACUUCUUUUGGAGGGGACGAAUAAAUUGACGGUACCCUCAGAAAAAGCCACGGCUAACUACGUGCCAGCAGCCGCGGUAAUACGUAGGUGGCGAGCGUUACUCGGAAUUACUAGGCGUAAAGCGUAUGUAGGCGGUUGUAUAAGUAUAUGGUGAAAUUUCCUGGCUCAACUGGGAAGGGACAUAGAUACUGUAUGGCUUGAGUGUUGGAGGGGGAGACGGAAUUCCUGGUGUAGCGGUGAAAUGCGUAGAUAUCAGGAGGAACACCGAUGGCGAAAGCAGUCUCCUGGCCAAAUACUGACGCUGAGGUACGAAAGCUAGGGUAGCAAACAGGAUUAGAAACCCUUGUAGUCC